CUGGCCGUAAACGAUGAAUACUAGGUGUGGGAGGUAUCGACCCCUUCCGUGCCGGAGUUAACGCAAUAAGUAUUCCGCCUGGGGAGUACGGUCGCAAGACUGAAACUCAAAGGAAUUGACGGGGGCCCGCACAAGCGGUGGAGUAUGUGGUUUAAUUCGACGCAACGCGAAGAACCUUACCAGGGCUUGACAUUGAGUGAAAGGUGCAGAGAUGCAUCCCUCUCUUCGGAGACACGAAAACAGGUGG
rnacentral:rRNA from 1 species